CGACUUUCCCAAGAUCUCUUUGUGAGUUCUUGAGGAGAGUUUCGCGGAUCUCUUUGUGAGUUCCGAGAUUCUCAAGAUCUCUUUGUGAGUUCUUGAGGAGAGUUUCGUGGAUCUCUGUGUGAGUUCCGACAUCCCUACAAUCUCCUUUGAGAUCUUGAAGUUUAAGAGCGUGAGGUUAGAAAUUCCAAGAUUUCCCCAAACUUCUCAUCCUCUACCAAGCUCGGGCUUUUCCUCCCCAAGUUCUCCUUGCCGCCGGCCCUGUUGGCCCGUCCAGAAAUUCACCCGCCGGCCAUCCCUUAGGCCGACGCCCACCAACCCCCACCUCCCCCUCUCUUCCUCCUUGGAAUAAAGAAAUUUCUUAAUUAGGAGAGGCUCACAAUUAAUGACAAUUCAAAUUCAAAAUUUGAAUUUGAAUUAGCAUUAAUUACUCCUUAAAUUCGUCCCUCCAAUUAAGCCAAUAACUAUUAAUUUAAAUCUGAAAUUUAAUUUGAAUUUGAUUUCAGAUUUAAAUCAAUUAAUCAUUUAACACUCCCAAUUAAUGACAAUUCAAAUUCAAAAUUUGAAUUUGAAUUAGCUUUAAUUACUCCUUAAUUUCAUAUUUCCAUUCUCUCUCCACAAAUUGAUUUGGGCUUUAAUUAAUCUUGCCACCUAGGCAAGUAUAUGGCAUUUACGUUUCACAUCACCUUCCUACAAGCCCAGAAUUGUAGGAAAACCUCUCAUAUUUCUUAGCCUCCAUAGGAAACCCUUUCAUUCUUCUAAAACUCAAAAUUAUGAGAGUGUACAUCUCUCUUUGAACACCAAAUAAUCAAAGAAUAUUCAUGAGCUUGGAACCUCCGGGUUGCACAUCUCUUCCCACAUUUACCUAACAUUUCAUUGAACACAAAAUUCGAUGAAUCACUCUUCAACUUGCAACCCUUAAGUUGCAUACCACUUCCUACAUUUACUUAAAACAUGAUUUUGGUAAAUGAUCAUGCGUCAUUGAACACAAUGUUCAAUGAUUUACCCUACUAUAUGCAACCCACAAGUUAAAUAUCAUUUCUCUCUUUCUAUAACUCAAAGGUUGUAGAAAAAUCUGCUAAUUUUUCUAACCUAAUUAGGAGUGUACAUCCUUCUUUGAACAUAAAAUGUUCAAAGAAGAUUCAAGAAUUUGCAACUCCUAAGUUGUAUUUUCUUCCUUUCAUCCCUCCAACUCAAGUUGGAAGAAUGAACCCCUCUCUUUGAAUCCCUAAAUGUUCAAAGAAACUUAUGGCGACUUGUGGUCUAAAUCUACAUGUCUCCUUGUAUUUGCCCAAUACAAAAUAGGUAGAUAAUCACCCCUCUUUGAACACCAAAUGUUCAAAGAGCUUCCUCAAAUUUGCAACAUCUAAGUUGCAUUUUCAUUGUCAUCUUCUACAAGCCAAGAUUAUAGGAAAACAUUCAAAUUAUCCAUCAUUUGCCUAUACCUGAAUUAGGAAAAUAAUUAGAUUCUUUUGAACAUCAAAUGUUCAAAGAAUAUUCAUAAAUUUGCAACUCCCAAGUUGCAUUUUCUCCCCCUCUCAUUUCUCCAACCCGAGUUGGAUGAAUGAUUCCUCCUCUUUAAACAUCAAAAAAAUCAAAGUGCACUCCUCAAUUUGCAACCUACAAGUUGCACUUAUGCUUCCUUGCUUCUAAAACUCAUGAGUUGUAGGGAAUCUCUUCAUUCUCCUAAUCUAAAUUGGAUGAAUGAAUAUCUUUCUUUGAACAUCUCAAAGUUCAAAGAAAUUUCAUAUGAUUUGUGAUCCACACUUAUGUAUCAUACUCCCACAUCUACCUAAUCCAACUUAGUUUGAUGAUUACAUCGCAUUGAAGAGAAAAUUCAAUGAUUCAUUCUUAGUUUGCAUACCUCCAAGUUGCAUACUACACUUCUCUCUCCUACAAUUCAAAAGUUGUAGGAAAUCCCCCCGAAUUUACUUAACCAAAGUUAGGUGAGUGAGCAUCUUCCCUUGAACAUCUAAAAGUUCAAGGAAAACUCCCUAUGAUUUGAAAUCCAAAUUCAUAUACAUUAUCCCAAAUCAAGUUUGAAGAAUGAACACUCUUCAUUGGGCAUCUAAAAAUUCAAAAGAAAUUCAUUAGGUCUUGUAGCCAACAUCUGCAUGUCAUCAUUUCUUGUUUUCCUUUACAAAUUAGGCAAAUCAACUUGCAUUAUUGAACACAAAGUUCAAUAAUUGAUCCAUGACUUGUGACCCAAAAUUACAAGUCAUCCCUCUUCUCUAUGGGCUCCAAUAGCCUUAGAGAAAUCUCCAACUCUUGACCACCAAGCUAUGAGUUUCAUUCCUUUCUCCCUAGCUCCAAAAGUUAAGAAAAUCCUCCAACAUCUAGCACAAAAGUUAUAUGUUGGACAUCUCUCUCUUAGACCCAAACUCUAAGUAUUAUUUCAUUCAACAUAACAUUGAUCUUCUCCUUCCAUGACAUUUAAAAUAUAUAACAUUUAGAUAUCUCUUAGGAGUCUCUCUCCAUUGAAAUUCAUCUUACCAAAUUAGAUGAAUUUCGCAAAGUCCUAAGUAUAACCCUUAAGCAUGUUCACCUUACACUAAUAGGAGAACAUUCAUCUCUUAUCCAAACACUAAGUGAACUUUAUAAAUCUUUAAAAUUGUCUAUGUUUCUUUUAAUAUAAUAAUUAAUCGUCCCACCCAAAAGGUGGGAUGCCUACAUCAUUAUAUCUUAGGACUUCAUAAGUGGCAGGCUUGCCUCAAGGCAAGCAGUGAUUGUUUUAUGGGUUCUUCAUAACCCUCCUAAAUAUGAAACAAAUUAAAAGAAAAAUAAAAUGUGUAAGUUACAAACAACUAAAAGAGAAAUCACCCUUGGAUUAAGAUUACAAGUUUUCUUUCAUCAAUAAAACAAAAACACUUUCCUUAGUGACAUACCACAUAGUCUGCACGCACUUAGGAGAAAUUAAGAUUUUUUUUUGUUUCAGCGUAUGAAUUUGAUGUUGUGGUGUGAUGCUAUCAAAUGUUUCUGUAAUUUUUAUUUUUAUUUGAACAAUAGUAUAUUUUAUGCUCUUUUCUUUUUUUUAGCUAUCCAAUGAUGGGAAAGCAUCCAAUGAUCAUGGUAGGUUGUGCAUAAGGCUUGGUAGACCUUUGGUUUGCUGGCUCGAUUGGUCCUUGGCUGCUGAUGGUUCACGUGUUGGCUGUUUUGAAGCAUAUGGUGUUGAGCUUGUUCUCUUAGUUGUUUGAGCUGGAGUUUAGUAGCUCAUUAAUUCUCUAAAGGUAUCUCAUUAAGAAAGAUUUACUUUUGGAGUGGCCUUGUCCCUUCCCCUUCCCCUUUCUUCUUGUCUCUUGAGAAACCGUGGCUUGUUUAAUGCAUAAGAAUUAAAAUGGGGUUACUGUUUUCCGUGCUUUGCCUCUUGGGUUUCUGGAUGGCUGCUGUUUUUUUCAUGCCUGGGAUGAUUCUCGUGGCUGUGGUUGUGGCUCCUUGGUUCCGUGCUGCCCCCUUGUCUCCCGCGGCUGCUGCUUCGGUUCCUGGGUUUGGAAUGUUUUCCGAAAAGAUCGGGGGGGAUUUCUGUGCUAAUGGUGCUUCGGUUCUAGUGGAAAUUAAUGUUAUGUGGCUUUUGGCAUUCCCCUACCUUGCCUAUAAAUAUGGGAAGAUAUUGUGAAGAAAAUCAGUUGAUUAUUGUGAGCAAAAUUGCUAUUGACCUGCAGGUUAUUGGAAAAGCUUGCGAGCUUUGUCCGCCUUCUUUCUCAGCCCCUCCGAAAAUUGCGAGCUCUUUCCAACCUUUCUUCUCGGCUUCUAACCACUUUCGGCUCUCCGCAAGUGUCACUCCAUCUGUAUCUUUCUUCUCAAAAGUAAAGCAACUUUAGGGUGUCGUGUCUUGGUUGAUUUGGAAGCAUUUGGACAAUCUUGCAAUGGUGGACCAUCAGUUUGCUAGUCUUAUGUACUUAUCUUAUUUAACCUACAAUUCGAUGCAUGUGAGGAACCCGCUCUAACGGUUGUCUGAGGAUAGUGUCUUUUAUUUUUCUUUAUUUCCUUAAAAUCUCUUAGUGUUUUCUUGUUGAAUUUUGAAGUCUUAGUAGUUUGCUUUUAUUUUAAUAAAGUUUGGUUUAAGUUAUAUCCAUUGUUCUCUUUGUGUCGGUUUUCUUACUUGUGUGUCUACAUCAUGGUGUGAUGCACAUUUGAAUGUCUGCAUUAUGGACACUUUCCCUUAAGUAGUUAGUGUAGAAAUAUUGCAUGCUCUUUUUUUUUGUGCAGGUGAUCAUGUCUAAGAGAGGGUGAAAUAAAUAGUACAUAAAAAUGCUUGCUAAUAGGUGCUACUUAAAACUCUCCAAAGAGGCAUGACUAAUAGGAUAGAAACAAGGAUUAGCACUUCAAGUACUAGGCAAUUCUGGAUGUGAUAUUUCUGUUAUGGGGCUGUUUGGUUUGCAUAAUUAGUAGGGUAAAGGAUAUAAUUUACGCGCGUUUCUCAAUUUCGGUCGUUUGGUUGGCUUUCAGCGGAACGAAAGGAAUACCUCCGAAGCAAUAGCGGGGUAUUAGGGGAGGCAGUUCGCGCGACUUCGAAACCUGCUCAAAUUGAGCGGGUUAGAAAUUCUUUGGCGGAUGUUGCGCGAUGAUUUUGCCGAAGCUGACCAAUAUUCUCCCUUCUUCUCCGUUCUUCCUUGCUCUCUUCUCCAUUCCUGGGCUCUUCUCCCUUUUCUCUGACGUUCCUGCAUCGUGGCUGCUUGGUCUGCUUCGCCUGGUUCCGCAAAACUGUCGUGGAGCUCUUCCUUCACUUCGGCGUCGGCUGACGUGGGAUACCCCGACGGACAACCUUCUCCAGUCCGCAAGCUCUACGACCUCCCUCUCCUAAGGCAUAAGAAGGAGCUAGUCUCUUCUAGCCCCGUUUCUUCUUCAGGUCUUCACCUCUCUCGUUAUUUCCUUUCAAAUCUCUCUCGUUUCCUUUUAUUUUUCCUCCCACUUAUUUGUCUGCUUCUAAUUUUUCCUCUUUUUUUUCUUGAUGUUCUUCUUUCUUUGCAGUAUAUGAAGAAACCUCUAUUUUUCCAGUAUAUAAACAAUGCAAAUGGAAUAUUGUAAACAUUCGCUUUCAGAACACUUGGAUUCCUUCAACUCCAAGCGAGUGUGGCCCUGGUUGCAUAAUGCCCUUAAAUUUUAGAUUAAAUGGUCUUAGGGAGUGAAGCGCAGAGGAUUAAUUUAUGCAUCUCUUCGUUGCAAUUAUUAGCAUACGUUUAUUUAUCUAUAGUGAACAUAUUUGUUUGGAACUUCAACAAUUUGAUCGGUAAGUGUUUGAUAAAAUGCUUAGUUUCUGUUUGUUUA